rnacentral:rRNA from 1 species
UAAUACGGAGGAUGCGAGCGUUAUCCGGAUUCAUUGGGUUUAAAGGGUGCGUAGGCGGCUCGACAAGUCAGCGGUGAAAUGCAAGGGCCUAACCCUUGACGUGCCGUUGAAACUGCCGGGCUAGAAUGCGGAUGCUGUGGGAGGAAUGUGUAGUGUAGCGGUGAAAUGCAUAGAUAUUACACAGAACACCGAUUGCGAAGGCAUCUCACAAAUCCGCUAUUGACGCUGAGGCACGAAAGUGCGGGGAUCAAACAGGAUUAGAUACCCUGGUAGUCCACGCAGUAAACGAUGAUAACUAACCGCUGGUUUUUAGGAUUCAGUGGCCAAGCGAAAGCGAUAAGUUAUCCACCUGGGGAGUACGACCGCAAGGUUGAAACUCAAAGGAAUUGACGGGGGCCCGCACAAGCGGAGGAACAUGUGGUUUAAUUCGAUGAUACGCGAGGAACCUUACCUAGACUCAAAUGGGAACUGACCGGGCCAGAGAUGGUUUUUCCUUCGGACAGUUUCAAGGUGCUGCAUG